AUACGGAGGGUCCAAGCGUUAUCCGGAAUCAUGGGGUUUAAAGGGUCCGCAGGCGGUCAAUUAAGUCAGAGGUGAAAGCCCAUCGCUCAACGAUGGAACUGCCUUUGAUACUGGUUGACUUGAGUUAUACGGAAGUAGAUAGAAUAAGUAGUGGAGCGGUGAAAUGCAUAGAUAUUACUUAGAAUACCGAUUGCGAAGGCAGUCUACUACGUAUAUACUGACGCUGAGGGACGAAAGCGUGGGGAGCGAACAGGAUUAGAAACCCUAGUAGUCC
rnacentral:rRNA from 1 species